CGGUCCACUACUACUUAACACAUGUCUUCUGAUGGGGUAUCACAGACUGAUUCACUGCCGAUAUAGACAUUCCCUGCCUUGUAUAGCCAUGACCUUCUCAGGUGUCACCCAUUUUCCCCAUUAUCCCCUGGGUACGUAUACCUGUGUUCUCUGUUUGUCUGUUGCCAGUUUGUUUUGUUUCGUCAAGCCUACCAGUGGUUUUCCCUCUGUUCCUGUCUAUCGAUUCUUCCUGUUUUUCCCCAGUUUUUACCUUUUUUUGCCUGAGCCUGCUGACGUCCUGUACCAUUGCCCCACUACUCUGGAUUACUGACCUCAGCCUUGACCUGUCGUUUGCCUGCCCUGUUGCUGUAAUAAACUUGUUACUUCAACACA